UUUAGUAGAUUAAAAUGAAAUGUCUACAAUGGCUUGCUUUUAAAUGGAAUGUAGACUUCAUAGGUGACUGGACCUACCUUCCUUUGAACCUGAUAAGGGCACUGCCACUUGGCCAGUAGCUUGUUUUCUGAAGUAGGUAGAUGUAACAAAACCUCAUCACCUUCUUCAAAGCUGCGGGUUCUGGCUGUUUGAUUGUAUCAUUCAUUUUGACGUGCAUGGUUGUGAAGGAGGUUUUACAGAGCUGUAGCCAUAGUUUUCUCCAACUGUUCUGUCAUCUUUAGGACAUAAGGAAUAAUUUAUUAUUUGACCUGGCUUUCUGAUGCCUCCCAGGCCUCUCCUAAAAAAUCAAGAGGACCUCUGACUGGGUGAGUGUACUGGAGUUCAAAAGAAGAAAAUCCCUUUGAUGGGGUGCAUCCCGAUACGCAAACAGCAGGAACGACUCACACAAGUUCUUCAAUGCAAGGUUACAUGGAGGAUCAUCUCUUGAGGAUCUUCUCCGGCAGACAGGACACUCCUGAGUGUUCUUGGUUCUCCAGAACUGUUGAAUACACUCUUUACAGAAACUGUGACUACAUGUCAGAAGAACAGGAUCCUUGAAGAUUUCCUUACACAAGCGACAAGAAAAAUCAUCUUCAGAUAGUGAAGCCAUUUUCUGUUUGAGCACCAGCAAUAAUUAAUAACCAA